rnacentral:rRNA from 1 species
GACGUAGGGCGCGAGCGUUGUCCGGAUUUAUUGGGCGUAAAGAGCUCGUAGGCGGUGUGUCGCGUCGGCCGUGAAAACCUGGGGCUUAACUCUGGGCGUGCGGUCGAUACGGGCAUCACUGGAGUUCGGCAGGGGAGACUGGAAUUCCUGGUGUAGCGGUGAAAUGCGUAGAUAUCAGGAGGAACACCGAUGGCGAAGGCAGGUCUCUGGGCUGACACUGACGCUCAUGCACGAAAGCGUGGGGAGCAAACAGG